AUAUGCUUGACAAUCUGACACUCUUAUGGUAAUAAAGAACACUCUUACAGCUUAAUAGAACACUAUUAUUAACUUUAUGGUUGUAAACACGCUUUUGUCAUAGUAGAACACUUCUAGGACUUAAUAGAAUAUUUUUAUCAGGUUUAUAGUUGCGAACAUGUAUGCAUUUGUAAUCUUACCCACUUAUGACUUAAUAGAACAUUCUUAAAGUUUCACAUAACACUGCUAUCAGUUGUAGACUUUAUAACAGAUUUAUGGCAUAAUAGAAUAAUUGUAAAGCAUAAUAGAACAACUCAAUAUGGGGUGUAUGGGUAGAAUAGAACACUCUUAGAGCAUAAUAGAAUACUGAAACCUUGAUUUGUAGAUAUUGUUCUUAAAUUUUUUAUAUUUAUCGGUAGUUUCCAAUUUAUGUGGUAUACAUUUGGAAUGACAGUUUGGGAUGUACAAAACUUAGCAAAGAAAAAAAAGAAGAAGAAGAAAGAAUAUGAGCAUUGUGGAUUGUUUCUCUUUGAAUUGAAUUCACGUACACGUGCAUUUUUGAGUUUUUCAUGUUUCUAUACUUCGGAGAUCAAUUGACUGAUUAAUUGAGAUGUAUGGGAGUUCAAAAAUCUAUACUUUGGAGAUCAACAUUACUGAUUAAUUGAGAAAUCUGGGAGAUCUUCUGAACUUCCAAUUAUGUUGCUAUAUCAUGGUUUUAAGACUUCAAUCUUACCCGCUUUUGUCAUAGUAGAAUAGAACACUCUUAGAGCAUAAUAGAAUACUUUUAUCAGAUUUGCAGUUGCGAACAUAUAUGCAUUCCAAUCUUAACCUCUUAUGACGUAAUAAAACAUUCUUAAAGCUUAAUGGAAGUGUGCUAUCAGUUUUAGGCUUUAUAACAGUUUUAUGCCAUAAUAGAACAGUUGUAAAGGUUAAAUAGAACACUCUUAAUAGCUAGCUUUAUGAUUGUCAACACUCCUUUGUCAUAGUAGAAUAGAACACUCUUAAGGCUUAGUAGAACAGUUGUAAAGGUGAAUAGAACAUUUUUAAUAGCUUUAUGGUUGUGAACAAUUUUUUGUCAUAGUAGAAUAGAAUAAUUUUAUUGCAUAAUAGAACAGUUAUAAAGGUUAAAAGAACACUCUAUUAGCUUUAUGGUUGUCAACACUCUUUUGUCAUAGUAGAAUAAAAUACUUUUAUGCCAUAAAAGAACAGUUGUAAAGGUUAAAAGAACACUCUUAAUAGCUAGCUUUAUGGUGUCAACACUCCUUUCUCAUAGUAGAAUAGAACACUCUUAGAGUUUAAUAGAACAGUUUUAUCAAGUUUACACUUGCGAACAUGUAUACAUUGCAAUCUUACUCUUUUGUGUCUAUUAUAAAGCUUAAUAGAAAACUGCUAUCAUUUUUUUAGUUUAGAAUAGUUUUAUGCCAUAAUAUAAUAGUUGUAAAGCUUAAUAGAACACUCUUAAUAGGUGUAUGGUUGUGAACAAUCUUUUGUCAUAGUAGAAUAGAACACUUUUUAUGCCAUAAUAUAUAGAAUAGGUGUAAAGGUUAAAAGAACACUCUAUUAGCUUUAUGGUUGUCAACACUCUUUUGUCAUAGUAGAAUAAAACACUUUUAUGCCAUAAUAGAACAGUUGUAAAGGUUAAUAGUUAAUAGAACACUCUUAAUAGCUAGCUUUAUUGUGUCAACACUCUUUUCUCAUAGUAGAAUAGAACACUCUUAGAGCUUAAUAGAAUAGUUUUAUCAAGUUUACACUUGCGAACAUGUAUACAUUGCAAUCUUACUCUUUUGUGUCUAUUAUAAAGCUUAAUAGAAAACUGCUAUCAUUUUUUUAGUUUAGAACAGUUUUAUGCCAUAAUAGAACAGUUGUAAAGCUUAAUAGAACACUCUUAAUAGGUGUAUGGUUGUGAACAAUCUUUUGUCAUAGUAGAAUAGAACACUCUUUGAGCUUACUAGAACACUAUUUUCUCGUUACUUUCAGAACGAAAUUAUGUGUUUACUUGUGGUUCAUA
rnacentral:lncRNA from 1 species